rnacentral:rRNA from 1 species
CAGUAGCCACGGGAAUACGAAGGGUGCAAGCGUUACUCGGAAUUACUGGGCGUAAAGCGUGUGUAGGUGGUUGUUUAAGUCUGUCGUGAAAGCCCUGGGCUCAACCUGGGAAUUGCGAUGGAUACUGGGCGACUAGAGUGCGGUAGAGGAUAGUGGAAUUUCCGGUGUAGCAGUGAAAUGCGUAGAGAUCGGAAGGAACAUCUGUGGCGAAGGCGACUAUCUGGGCCAACACUGACGCUGAGGAGCGAAAGCAUGGGGAGCGAACAGGAUUAGAUACCCGCGUAGUCCCUGUCUCUUAUAC